UGGGGAAUUUUGCGCAAUGGGGGAAACCCUGACGCAGCAACGCCGCGUGAGUGAUGAAGGCCUUCGGGUCGUAAAGCUCUGUCAGAGGGGAAGAGAUGCAGGGGUGCUAAUAUCAUCUUUGCUUGACGGUACCCUCAAAGGAAGCACCGGCUAACUCCGUGCCAGCACCCGCGGUAAUACGGAGGGUGCGAGCGUUGUUCGGAAUUAUUGGGCGUAAAGCGCGUGUAGGCGGUUAGAUAAGUCUGAUGUGAAAGCCCCGGGCUCAACCUGGGAAGUGCAUUGGAAACUGUCAGACUUGAAUACGGGAGAGGGUAGUGGAAUUCCUAGUGUAGGAGUGAAAUCCGUAGAUAUUAGGAGGAACACCGGUGGCGAAGGCGGCUACCUGGACCGAUAUUGACGCUGAGACGCGAAAGCGUGGGGAGCAAACAG
rnacentral:rRNA from 1 species